GAAAAAGGCAGCGUCGGAUCGGGUAAGAAGUCUUGGGGCUGCCAGCAUUUCUCUACUGGUUUGAGUAAUGGUAACACGUUAUUGGUGGCCCAGGUUUCUAGUGACUUGAAGACUUCGACUUUUUCGGGUGGCAUUGAAUGUGUUUUUGGUUUCGGUGGUGCUGCGACGGCGGAGAUUUGCCGGAAUCGGACGGUGGAGGAUGCGGCGGUGAGACGAUGGUGGGCGGGAUUAGGGACAAGUGGAGAGCACGCAGCAGGACGUUUGGUGGAAGUGACGAGAAACUGAGAUGCUUGCAUGGUGGUGGCACUUAGCACAGGGAGUGUGCGUCUUUCUCUUGAACUGAUUUU
rnacentral:lncRNA from 1 species